GCAAAAUACAUAAACUUUCAUCUAUUUAUCAAACCUUCAACUCAACAUUACUUAGUAGUAAAGUUAAUACUGUCUUAGCUAUAUUUGGAACUACAUUUAAACAAGUAAAAACAAACAGAAAUAAUUUAAAAAAUAUAUAAUUUGUAAAAGGAGUAAAAUCUUACACAAAAAUGACUCUUAGCUAUGUCUAUAUUGAACAGAAAAUGAAAUCAAGUUAAUAUCUCCCUAUGUUAACCCUGUUGGCAUUAUGGUAAAUGCCACUCAUGAGAUGAGGAUGGGUGUUCAGAAAGGUUCAUGAUAGCUCCCAAAAGGUAAGGCCCUGGAGAAAUGCGGGGUGGAGAGGGGUGGUGGACAGUAGGGCACUGCAGUGUGUUUCUGCAUAUGUUUGUGGAAGGAGGUAGGUAUGUGUUUGUGUCACAGACAGAGACACAGAGAAAGAAAUAGAGAAAGAGAGAGAGAGAGAUUGAGACAGAGAGAAUAGAGCACUCUUACCCCAGGUAAAGCCUGUGGCAAAAAUUUAUAUAUUAACCCUCUGUUGGCAGGGCGUUAUCCCAAGAAAUCCAGAGUGAGAGAAAAAAGCAGAGUGAGAUAGAGAAGAGGGAGGGAGAAGAAUAACAAGGAGUCCAUUACCAGGUUAACCACAGCUUCACAGAGGCACAGAUGGCUGCUUUGUCUGGUGGGACAGCUUCUGGAGGCCAUCUACUGCAUCUCAGGAGAGUCCACGGGAGUGGGAGAAAGGACAAACCUUUCACCCACUGAUUCUUUCCAGUUUCAUAUCUCUCCUGUGUCUGCUCCAUGUUGUGAUAUUACCCCUGAACCUUUGCUUCAUGUUACUGGACAGCUCUGGGAAACCCCUGGUGACAGCUGCAUGUGAGGAGCUUCUCAGUGGAUGGCAGUGGAGAUAGCAGGGACUUUAUGAUGGCAGGGGAUGACCUGAACCAUCUCUAGAAUCAUUGUUGCCAGGGAGAAGGCAGAACCAGGCUGAUCUUGGGUGGUGCAGAAACUGAGGUCAUUUUACACACUGCAGAUAAUCUAUACUCUUGCAUAACCACCAUCAAUAGCAUCAUUUAUUUACUGCUUACAUAUAUUUACUGCUUACUAUAUUCCAGGCUUCAUUGUCUUAACAUUCUACUUAAAUUAUAUUUUCUAAUGUUCAAACACAUGUAAGAAAAAUACUAAUGUUAUUUCUGUUUUACAGAUACAUGAGCUGAGACAUGGAGGGUGCAAGGUAGAGUUGGGCAAGCUACCCAAUAAAUCUUGAUCACAGAACUUCUGGGCCUUACUGUGCCAAAGUUUCAUAGAGCAAAUUAAACCCACUGAAUGAGGAAUGUAUUUUAAUUUUAUUAAUUUUCAAUGGUGGACUCAAAUUAUUUCAGAAUUCAUAAUAACUUCUUGUACAACAAUUAAUUUUUAAGAAUAAUUUCCAGCUGAGUAGCUUUUAAGGCAGUUUUACAAAGAGUGUCUCCUCUUUUACAUUUGCUUCUCUUUUCAAAUGUCGUCCUUUUGAUUAUUUCACUGCAAUUUAGCAUCUCCAGAAAAAAAAAGGAAGAGAGGAAAGAAAUUUAGUAAGCAUUCAUUUAUUAUCAUAGCCCCAAAAUGGCUGAUUGUAAAAGGUGGUUUAAAUAAAAUUUUUAGGAAAUCUGAAAUCUUCAUCUGCCUAUCAUCUUCCAUGAUCACAAAUAAUUUAGUGUUGAGAGUCCCUGGGUGAGGCCAGCUUAGAAAUACUCAACUGAAAAUUACUACAUUCUGACCAUUUCUUAGUAGCUUUUGAAAGUAUGAAGCACCAUGGAUAACUUAGCAGCCAGCUAAAAACCAAAUGCUAUGAGCAAUGCCAAUUAUUUUAUUGGCAUUCAAUUGACAAAUAAAAUGGGUGGGCUUGGUGUUAUGACUAAUAAUAGCUCACUCAGUUAUGCAUUUUGUUCACGAAGAAAAUUGUACAUCUUGACCUUGAGGGAAAAUAGUCGUAAUUUUGAGGGUAGUCUUAAUGUAAUUAUUACCAUCUGGGCCUUCCAUAGACUUUCCCCCUGCAUUUCUAGUACUGCUAGCAGCCACAUUCUUGAUUCUGUUACUGAGGAUGCCUUGGAAUAAUAGUGACCUCACAGGAAUGAUUAAUGACUCUUAAUCAAAAAAUAGGGGAGAGGUUUCCAAGCCUCAGUCUAAGCACUAAAUAUAAUUAGCAUAUUCACUUUUAGAAGCUAGUCACUAUAGUCUGUGCUGUCACUUCUUGACUGAAACUUGUGAAUAAUUAUUUCACAUCCCUUAAUUUAUUGCAGUGACCUCUUUCUGCUGAACAUGGUUUUAAUUUUGGGAGAAGACUGCCUGUUGCGUGACUUCUUAGGGGCUGCGCUUUUGAUGUUGGAUAGUUUGUCCUUAGUAAUAGUCUAAUUAUCCCACUGAAGGAGAUGUUUUGUUUUCAAAGGGGAUUAUUCAUGGCCUAACUCAGAUACCCAAAAGCUGCCAAGUAAUAAAGAGAUAGUUAAAAUUCUAAAUCAACUUGCCUAACUAACUAAAAGCCAGUAGUGUUGGUGUUAUUUUGUUGACUGCACUAUUGCAUUCUUCUUGUAGAACUGCAUACUUGAAGGGGUGGGGUCUGCUUUGCGUUUCAUCUAAAAUGGCUUUUAUAGCCCUUAGAAAGCUGGAAAUCUGCUUCAUGUUUAACAUCUCUUUCCACAACAAUUUAGGUUCAUCUUUUUGUUACUUCAGUCACUGGAAAACUUCAAUGUUCAGCUGUUGUUUUUUUCAAACCUCAAAGCAAUGAAGACCCUCAGUAUCUUUUUAUAUUGAAACAUGUUCUAAUACAAUCUUCUACUGUUGAUCUAUUACUUUAAUAUUCAGUCUUUUUUUUUUUUUUUUUGAGGCAGGGUCUCAUUCUGUCGCCCAGGCUGGAAUGCACUGGCAUGACCAUAGCUCACUGCAGCCUCCAUCUCCCGGGCUCAGGCAAUCCUCCUACCUCAGCCUCCCAAGUAGCUGGGACUAUGGGGCUGCCCCACCACACCUGGCUAAUUUUUAAAUUUUGAAUUUUAAAUUUCUUUUUUUUUUUUUUUUUUUUUUUGAGAUGGAGUUUUGCUCUUUUGCCCAGGCUGGAGUGAAGUGGCAUGAUCUCAGCUCAUUGCAACCUCCGCCUCCCAGGUUCAAGCAAUUCUCCUGCCUCAGCCUCCUGAGUAGCUAGGAUUACAUGCACCCACCACCACGCCUGGCCAAUUUUUUUGUAUUUUUAAUAAAGAAAGGGUUUUGCCAUUUUGGCCAGGCUGGUCUUGAACUCCUGACCUCAGGUGACCCACCCGCCUCGGCCUCCCAAAGUGCUAGGAUUAUAAGCAUGAGCCACCACGCCCAGCCUAAAUUUCUAUUUUUUAGACAUGAGGGUCUCAUUAUGUUGCCCAGGCCGGUCUUGAGCUCCUGGACUCAAGUGAUCCUCCCACCUUGGCCUCCCAAAGUGCUGUGAUUAUGGGCCUGAGCCACCAAGUCCUGCAUUAUAUUCAGUCUUAAUGUCCCUAGCACCACAACUGAAAGUCCUGCUAGAGUCUUUGAUUCUAGUUUUAACCUUAUUUCCUAAUAAGUAAUAAAUUAUACUUUAUUCGACAUCUAGCUUCUGCUUUGGUGAGUUGGAAAUGUCCCACCUUGUGGGAAACGUGUCUAAGCAUUUCUCUUCCCGAUUUUGUACUUAGCAAGGGAGAAACUUCUUGAUGUCAGGCUGUAGUUUCUGUCUCCCUUCGUCCUCCUCCAUCUCCCCACCUAGAGUUAACACAAGAUGGGAACAAAAGAAAAACAGUGAAUGCCAAAGAAAGACCAGAAGUAAGUACAUGAGACAAAAAUCCAAGGCAGGAAAAACACUGAAAUAAUAAUAGCACGAAACAAUGGAGAAUUAAAGAAGAAUGGCAAAUAUGACUGAGUCCUCUAAACAGUUGGCUAUAGCUCCACAAUGGAAAGUCCUGCUAGGGUCUUUGAUUCUGUCCCCUAAACCAUCCCAGAUAGUUAUGUAGCAUGUGGCCUCAAAGGAGGGAGAUUUUCAUCCUUGUCCUAAGGAACAUGUUUCUGGGCUUCCCUUAUCUCCCUAAUCUAAUCUUACCUCAAAGCCUGCUGCCACCAUUCAGUUAUUCUUUUUACCCCUACUCGAUAUACAAAAUAAUUAUUAUUUGUGAUAUAAAAGUUCUUUUAAGCCCAAGACAGUGACUAAGUUACAUCUCAAAUAUUUUCUAAUCAAGAUAUUCUUAUUUUCAAGUACAAUAUUCCUAGGCCUCUGGUCUGGGUCUCUGUACAGACAACAUAGCCGUCACUAUGUAGCAAAUAAUAAAAUUAAUGUGACUUGCAAUAUUAAUCAACUAUUAGACAAAAGUUCAUGAGGCGUUGUGCCAUUUUUCAUGUUAGCAAUAGCUUUUAGCAUUUUGUUUCUUUAUUCCUAAAAUAUGGAAAAAUUCUUUGUCAUAGUUGCAUUUCAAAAUGACCCAAAUACUCCUGCCAAAAUAAACAACCCUAGGUUUAUUUUCAUUAUAAGUUUCCCUCUCUUUACUGCCCAUUGGCUUCAUUUUUUAACCUUGUUUUGCCUUUUUUCCCCUCUGAAAACCGAAAAUUUAAAUUUUCUGGUUUUAAAUUUUUUUAUGUCUUAUUGGAGUUUUAGCUGACUGUAGUCUUUUUCAUGUCAGUAUUAUUCAAGUUUCGGAAAAGUCUCUUUACCAUCUAUUAACAACUAAAUAAUUAUAAAUUGUUGGCCAAAAAAAAGAGAAAGAAGAAAAGAAAAAGAAAGAAAGGAAGAAAGAAAGAAAGAGAAGGAAGGAAGGAAAGAAAGAAAGAAAGAAAGGAAAGAAAGGAAGAGUAGUGGGGGAAAAGAAUAAAAUUUGCCUGCACCUUUUUGUUGUUUUUUUUUUUCUCUUCUCUUUUUAUUUUUUAAUUUUGCCUACACCUUUUAAAGCAAAACAAUUACAUUUUUUCUUUUAGUUUUAUAAACUAAUGAAAUUAAUCUGUUCCAACUCAAUCAGUUGUUUCAUACUGGAAAAUGUCACACAUCGGGGCUUUUAGGAAGGAAUCAUUGCCGUGCCUUGGUGAAGGGUGAGUAUGGCUUUAACAACUGCUGGUGGAGGAGCCUUGGAGGAAAGAACAGGAUAGUAAAUGCAAUUGCUUGUCUCCUGAGAGUUAACUCACAGUCCAGAUGUCCUACCACCUAUCUACCUGUAGUCUGAAGGCACUUUGUGAGUAAUAAAAGCAUGUAAAUUGUAAAUUCUUCUCCUUUUCUCUUUCAAUAUCUUACAAUGUAUCAAUGACAAUUGCUAUUGUUAUUGGUAACAGGUUGAUGUCAUACCGAAGGCUUUGGAGCCAAAAAAGCUUGUGUUUGAACUCCGGCCCCACCAUUGUAUGGUCUUAGACAAAUGACUUAACCUCUUUAAGCCUUGAUGUCCAUACUGUAAAAAACGAGACAAUAAAACCUACUUAUUGUAAGGAUAUAAUGACAUUAUUAACAUAUCUAUUCUAUUGCCUGAUGCAUAGCAUAAGCUCAAAAAUACUAGUUUUCCUAUUCUAAAAUGUUUAAAAAAAAUUAUAAUCCAUACCUCUUCUACUUCAGAAAGUGUUUUAAUACAUAAAAGCAGUGAUUUAGCAAUAUCAAAUCGAAGUUUGAGAGCCAGAAGAACUUGGAGGACCAUUGAUUUUAAAGGUUUCUUUGUUUUUUAUGAACAACAGGAAUUUCCUCUUAUGUCUUCAGAACCUUGAGUUUACCAGGAAGACAAGGUGACUGAGAUACUUCUUUAAGCCCAGAAACUGAAGAAGGCAGCUGUCAGGGAUGGCUUGGAAUGUUCUACAAGUAACUAAAAAAGUUUCCAGCUCUCCUGUCACAAAGUGGCUAUUGAGACUUCAAAUGUCAGAUGAUCUCCUUUGAAGCAGCAAAAUAGAGUGGAUAGAACUCCAGGAUGGAUGUCAAAAAACUCUGUGAUCCUAGUUCUAACUCAAAUUUACCUUUCAUAUGGUAUGAGGUUGGCAACAAAUGAUUCAUGGACCACCACUCAUCUAUAGACCAGACAUUAGUAAGAUGUGCUUGCUUCUCCUUCGCCUUUCACCAUGACUGUAAGUUUCCAGAGGCCUCCCAGUCAUGGUUCCUGUUAAGCUUGCAGAACGUGCACACAACCUGGAGCAAAGAGAUGUCAACGUAGACUUGAAAGCCUCAACAAACAUCUAUACAUUCAAAAUUCAGAGGAUAAUUGCAGACUUACAUGUUAAAUGAUGCCACAGGCUUGUGGUGAAUGUACAAAUCUAAUUCCCUAAACCUAUGAUACUACAGCUGACCCUUGAACAACAUGGGUUUGGACUACACGGUUCCAGCUAUACACGAUGUUUUUCAGCCAAACACAGAUCAAAAAUGCAGUAUUUGUGGGAUAUGGAACUUACCUAUAUGGAAGGCUGACUUUUCUUAUACUUUGGUUCCAUGGGGCUGACUGCAAGAUUUGAGUAUGCUUGUAUUUUGGUAUACUCAGGCCAGCGCCCUGGAAUCAAUUCCCUGCAUAUACCCAAGGAUGGUUGCAUUUAGAUAAUCGGAGCAUUACAAUGCCAUUUGUUAUGCAAAGAACAGCUUCUAUAAUUUGUGAAAUUUCAGUGAAAAAUAAAAUAUAAAGAUUUCACUCUAUUAAACUCUAUUAUUACUAAGAAAAUGAGAACUGAGUCUCAAAGGUAGUUAAUACAACGUAUUGAUCCAGCAGAAAUAGCUAUUCCUAUGAAUGCCAAAAUGAUUAGUCACUUUGUUAUUAAAUCAGCCUCACUGAUUAUUUUAGAUAUUAUAAACGGAAGUGAUUUUCAAUUUUCAACCCAACCAGAUGUUAUUGGCGUGCAUCAAACACAGAUAAGAGUGAAUCUACUCAGAAGAAAAUCAAGGAGAAUAUAGCUAAAAAUAUGCUAUGAGGCUAAUGUUCUGUUUAAAGAAAGGCUUAUUUGAUAUUUCUAUAGUGUUGAAUGACAUUUUCCGGAAAAAAAAUUGUUAAAUUUUAAAUAGAUUAUAUAAUGUAAUACCAAAAUUAUUUCAAUAAUGUUAUUAGAAAUAUGCUUUUUUUUUUUUUGAGACGCAGUCUCACUCUGUCACCUAGGCUGCAGUGCAGUGGCAUGAUCUCAGCUCACUGCAACCUCUGCCUCCUGAGUUCAAGCAAUUCUCCUGCCUCAGCCUCCCAGGUAGCUGGGAUUCCAAGCGUGCACCACCAUGCCCAGCUAAUUUUUGUGUUUUCAGUAGAGACAGGGUUUCACCAUGUUGGCCAGGCUGGUCUCAAACUCCUGACCUCAAGUGAUCAUCCCGCCUCAGCCCCCCAAAGUGUUGGGAUUACAGGCAUGAGCCACCACACCUGGCCAGAAAUAUGCAUAUUUUUGAUUUUGCAUUUUCUAGUCCAUGUUUUCCAUCAUAAAAUAGGUUUUUCCAAAAAUUGAAUUAUUUACAAAAAUUUAAAAAAAUCCUUCAUCUUUAGAAUGUAUUUUUUGAAUUAUCAUUCGUUAUACCAGAAGAUACUUAAUUUAAGAAACACAUAAUUUCCUUAUUAAUAUUCUACAAUAAAUUUCUUAGGCUCAUUGUUCUUUAAUAUAUAGGCAAAAAUAUUUGGUGAUUUCUUAAACAAUUGGGUCCAAAUACUGCCUUAAUUUCAUUUCCUACCAAUGAAUUCAUUCCCUUAAAACCAGAGAGAUUCCAGUUUUUUACACACGUUCCCCAAGAAACUGAAUAUUUUAGGCUUACCACAAAACAGACAGUAAUAAAAUUAUAAAAGCAGAGAUGUACAAACAUGACUCCAGAGGUCUCAAAAUGUCUCUAACAGGGGAUGCCUGACAUUAUGGCAAACUAAGCUUGCUAGAUAUUCAGCUUCUUACCACAAACACAUUAAAAAAUCAUGACUAGAAGAUAAAGAUAAAAUAUUUAAAUAAAGACAUUUUAAUUACAUACGUUAGCUCAAAAGAAAAAAAAAAGUGAAACAUCUAAGCCAGAAGGAUUAAAUACAUUUAUAUUCUGGCCACUUCUGGGGGAGUUGCAUCCUGUUCUAGGUUUGGGACACUGGAGUUCUAAUAUUUUUAAGGACACAAAAGAUGACUCUUCUAGCAUGUGAAGACAGAAGAAACUGGAACUGAACCCCUUACAUAAAACCUAGAGCCUUUCAGAUCUGUCCUAUUGUUAAUAGGAGAAUAGAAAAAAUGCCACAGAAUGAUCUGAGUAAGCAGCAAUAUAGCUCAUCUUGCUCAAGAGCUAUUUUAUGAAAAGAAAAUAAGAGUCACAGGAGAAAUCAAAAUUCCAAUAAAGAUGUGAGCCCAGGUCUUUCUUAUUUCAAAGCUCUUGAUUUUUGCUUUGGUCUCUGCUGGCCUUCCUUUCUCUGAAUUGUCUUUAUGUUAUGUAGAGUAAAGAGAGUUUUAUUCUUGAACCCAGAACCAAAGCUAUACACAAACUAUUCUCACAACUUUUUUUUUUAAAGACAUGCCAUCCUAUCGACCUUGUUAAAUGAUUUUUUUUGGAAUGAUAGGGCAUUCCUCCUACUUUUCCUGCAAUUAUUUUCUAGCAUAGAUCUCAAAGAUCUGCAAACUAGUAAACAAUAAACCUAAAGCAGUAAAAACUUCAGACCCCUGCAUCCAAGCUUAAUUAAGUCAGAAAUUGAAUUCCAUUAUGUCAUGGGAUAUGCCCUAGAGAAUUGUAUUGAUUCUCUCCUCUACGCCCAAAUGCACUUGAGCUAAAAGGCAUCUUUGCAAUCACAAAGCAUCCCAGCCUGGAGAAAGCUAUAUUUUGAGAAAGAAUGUAGGUAGGUAUUCAUAUUAGAUGUGGGAAUCAAAGUCACCUUAAGUACAAUCUUGAUGUUACACUUGUGUUUUAAAAAAAUGGGAAGUUGGAGAUGAACUCGUUCAUGGAGCUCAGAAUUAUUUGCUGUUUGACCAAUAUUGUACCAUAUAAGCCGUGUUAUCUGUAAAACUAUACAUUCAUGUAUUAAAUAUGUAUAAAAGGUAAGAGGAUUGUUCUUUUAUUG
rnacentral:lncRNA from 1 species